rnacentral:lncRNA from 10 species
AUCUACUUGACCUCCUCACAGUCUCCCUUUCUAUAGUGCAAGCUCGACUAGACAGUUUUGACAAUAGUGAUAUUAAGGCUCUGCUUGGUGCCAUGCAAUCUGCAUUUGGGGUGCCAGCUAGCCACAGGACUCAUCUGGAAAAAAACAACGGCCCAACCCUGAGAACUUUGGGAUUCACGGGAAAUUACAGUUCCCCUGAUGAUGCAGGACCGGACCAGGAUUUCACUCAUCAACUGGCCUAGAUUAAGGAGAAAGAAAUCUACAUUUCUGAACCUGGUAACGUCUGAGCAUACUCAUGGAAGAAAGAGCUGGCCUAUGAGCGUGAGUCAUUCAACAAAUAUUUCUGAGUUUUUACAGUGUGCUAGAUACUCUUUACAUGCUGAAUGAGACAGCAAAACUAAGACUGCUCAGGAUAAUUGAGAAAUUAUCGCUUUCUUCCUGUAGGCAUCCCCUGCUUUUCACUAACACUUUUUUCUUCUUGUUGGAAGGGUGGAUAUUAUGGCUGGAGCUGCAGCAGCCAUCAUGCCAACAUGAGGGAAAAGCUGAUGGAAUUGUGGAGACUUUGGCCUUGUGAUUCAGCCCUGGAUGAGUUGUCUCCACAUUACUUAUCAUAUAAGAGAAAAACCAAGUCCAUUAAGAACACAAUAAAAUAUCUUCAUGAAUGAUCCUCCAUUUGGAAACAAAUGCAUUUGGAUGAGGGACCAUCUCUCGAAGCUAAGGAUUAAAAUAUCGCUUCAGUACCACAAAGAAAUUAGGCUGUUCCUUUUGGAGUGUUUUAAUAGUUAGCUGAGUGCUCCUCAGGAAGAAGCCACAUACCCGGAGCGUAACCAGGAGACAGUCAUGGAACCGUAACGCAGACCAUGGACUGCAGCAGCUUGGUUUGGAGCUGGGUCAAACCUCACAGUAAGGCUCCAUCUCAGGCCUGGCUGCAAAGUCAACAUCUCUCUGCAUCCAUGUUUUCACAUUUACCUUUCUGGAGCGGCAAUAGGAAAAUGUUUCCCUAAAAGAAAAGACAGUGAUGCUUUCAUCGAAAGAAAAAGUAAAGAACUAUUGUGUGUGCCUAACCAAUCUUACAGGGGGGAAAAGAUUUAUAUUAUCUUGAAAACAUAAUUUGGUCUUGUUCAGGCCAUUGGGGGAG